GGUCCCAUGGUGCAGUAGUUAGCACGUUGCUCUUAUACGUCUUUCCGAAGGAAAUUUGUAUGACAUGCCAUGCAAAGGUCGUGGGUGCAAUCCCCACUGGGACCA